AUGAGGAGAAUUAAACGACGACACCGCCACCGACCAACCAACAAUAACAGACCUCCAAAACAAGAAGACGACGAUGAAGAAGAAGAAGAGCAUGAUCAGAAACCCUACAUUCUUCAAUUGCCAGUCCACAUAAUAACAGAGAUCUUCUGCAAAAUCCCAACAAAAACUCUCAUCCAAUGCAAGCGCGUGUCCAAAUCUUGGCGUUGUUGGUUCUCAGACCCUCAAUUCACCAGAGAACUAUUUUCACGAACACCCGCUUCCCUCUGGGUCACUGGCCACUUCUUGGUCGACCUCGACAGGAUCGGGAGCCAAAGCAACGUCGCGUUGCAGCUUUUUAGUAAUCUCAGAGCUCUUUGUAUGACCGUUGUAGGCUCGUGCAAUGGCUUCCUCUGUCACUACGAUUUCAAUUCUGACUUUACGCGUCAUCUUCACAUCUCCAAUCCUGUUACCUGUGAGUUUUUCUCUCUCCCAAUACCUUCAAAUCGUGAUAGUGGAGACUGUUAUGGUUUUGGGUUCAGCCCCAUUAGUGAUGUUUAUAAGCUAGUUCGGGUUUCGUCUCUAGGCGGAGAGCCUGACCAAGUAAUGGUUUUGACUGUUGGCUUUGGAAUUUGGAGAAACAUUGGGCACCCUGGCUACUCAUUUUAUAGGGUAAAUCCUCGUCAUGGGAUUUAUCUCAAUGGGGUUCUUCAUUGGAUUGGUCGCAGUUGUAGGGACAGGUCCCGGCGUUUGAUAUGUGUCUUUGAUGUUGAAAGUGAGCGGUUCCAAGAGUUACCACUACCGCUUUCUUCUCAAAAUCUGCGAAGAACAUAUUUUAAGCUCGGAAUAUUAAAAGGUUGGCUCUCUGUAAUUCAUAAAGUAAAUGAUGUUAUCAGUGUUUGGGUGAUGAAGGAUUACGGGGUGAAGGAGUCUUGGACUAAAGAGAAUGAGUUUAAAAAACCAGUUGGUUCUUUUGUCACUUCAACAAUGAAAUUUACUGAGCAAGGG
rnacentral:lncRNA from 1 species